UACAGAGGGUGCGAGCGUUAAUCGGAAUUACUGGGCGUAAAGCGCACGUAGGUGGUUGUGUAUGUCGAGUGUGAAAGCCCCGGGCUCAACCUGGGAAUGGCGAUGGAUACUGGCGGGCUAGAGUGCGGUAGAGGAGAGUGGAAUUCCCGGUGUAGCAGUGAAAUGCGUAGAGAUCGGGAGGAACAUCAGUUGCGAAGGCGGCUCUCUGGACCAGCACUGACACUGAGGCACGAAAGCGUGGGGAGCAAACAGG
rnacentral:rRNA from 1 species